GCCUGGGUGGCUCAGUUGGUUGAGCGUUUGACUUCAGCUCAGGUCAUGUUCUCACGGUUUGUGAGUUCGAACCUUGCAUCAGGCU
rnacentral:tRNA from 1 species